GGGCGUGGGGACCGCGGUCGCCUUUCUCCUCAGGUGUGCAGCGUCCAUCCUCCCCGCGAACCCGAAGCCGCAAACCGCCGGGGGGCGGGGGAUGCCGGGCUGCCGCAUCAGCGCCUGCGGCCCCGGGGCCCAGGAAGGGACGGCAGAACCGGGGUCCCCGCCGCAGCCGCCGCGGGAGCCCCAGCCAUCCCCUCAGCCCCCGCCCCCAACUCCGACCUUGACCCCGACCCCGGUCCAGGCCCCGCCGCUGCCCGAGGCGGCCAGGGCGUCUGCAGGUGUGGCUGACGGGCAGGAGCUGCAGCGCUGGCGCCAGGGCGCUAGCGGGGGCGCGGGGGCCACCGGGCCCAGCGGGGGCUCGGGCGGCGGCUCGGGCGCGGCGGCGGGGGCCGGUGGCCGCGCGCUGGAGCUGGCCGAAGCGCGGCGGCGGCUGCUGGAGGUGGAGGGCCGCCGGCGCCUGGUGUCGGAGCUGGAGAGCCGCGUGCUGCAGCUGCACCGUGUUUUCCUGGCUGCCGAGCUGCGCCUGGCUCAUCGCGCCGAGAGCCUGGGCCGCCUGAGCGGCGGCGUGGCGCAGGCCGAGCUCUACCUAGCGACACACGGGUCGCGCCUCAAGAAGGGCCAGCGCCGCGGCCGCCGCGGCCGCCCACCCGCGCUGCUGGCCUCGGCGCUCGGCCUGGGUAGCUGCGUGCCCUGGGGCGCCGGGCGCCUGAGGCGAGGCCACGGCCCGGAGCCCGAGUCGCCCUUCCGCCGCAGCCCGCCCCGCGGCCCCGCCUCUCCCCAGCGCUGACCUCCACGCCCGGAUCCCUGGCCACCCCGGACAGGCCCAUCGCCAAGGUGGGGAUCACAGAUUGCGGAUGCCGGCCGGAUGGACGGCGUCACCUGCACGGAUGGGCAGACUGACCUGCAGGAAGAGACAGUCGGGGGGCCAGGGUCCCUAAAAAGGAGGCUGAGCUCCUCCCAGCUCCUGAGAGCCUUGACUGUGUGGCUCUGGACUCCUGGAUUCUGCUUCUUCCCUGGGCACCUCCUUCAGGAAGACCUUGAGAAUUGACCCUACACAACCUCAGUGCCCUCCUUAUGGGAGCCCUUCUCUUCGCCAUGGCAAGGGGCUGGGUCCUGGGGAACUAUGGAUUUCUUUAUAUGCGCCGCAUUUGACUUUGGCUGUACAAUUGGAGACGUUACUACAGGUCCCUAAGAUGCAAUCAGAUUACUUAAGAGUGCAGCAAGCAUUGCCAAUGUGAAAUGAAAAAGAUUUCUUUUAAAGAUACCAUCAUCAUUCUUAAGUCAUGACACAGCUGGGGUCCCUAUUUAGGUAGAUGUCAUUGCUUUGAAGUUUAUUGGGAGGCCUGUUUGAGCAAAAAUGGUGGUCUGAGAAGUCCCUCAGUUGCCUUCAUCCACUGUCCUUGUUCUCCCAUGCAGAGCAUGGCUGUGGCCCCUCAGACAAUCACCUGUCUCCUGGUGGGGGACACACCUCUUUCUCAGGAAGAGGUGGUGGCAACAUAUAACUAAGCAAAGUUUUAAAUGAAAAAGAAACAUUUAUUCAAAUAUCCUGAUAAUAGAGGGAAGGGGGGCACAUUUACUCACACACAACCCAGAACUUGUAGAAUUCUGCAAAGUGAAUGCAUAUUGAAUCAGUCCCUUGAUUUCUACAUUCAGGAAGAAUAAAUUGCAAUAAUAUGAGGCAAAUGCAUGUGGUUCUGAAGCUGA